rnacentral:rRNA from 1 species
GACGAACGCUGGCGGCGUGCUUAACACAUGCAAGUCGAGCGGUAAGGCCCUUUCGGGGGUACGACGAGCGGCGAACGGGUGAGUAACACGUGGGUGACCUGCCUUUAGUCUCUGGGAUAAGCCUGGGAAACUGGGUCUAAUACCGGAUAUGACCCUAUGGCGCAUGUUGUGGGGUGGGAAAGCCUUGUGCGGCUAGGGAUGGGCCCGCGGCCUAUCAGCUUGUUGGUGGGGUGAUGGCCUACCAAGGCGACGACGGGUAGCCGGCCUGAGAGGG